AUCGAACGCUGGCGGCAGGCCUAACACAUGCAAGUCGAACGAGUGGCGGACGGGUGAGUAAUGUCUGGGAAACUGCCCGAUGGAGGGGGAUAACUACUGGAAACGGUAGCUAAUACCGCAUACCAUCGGAUGUGCCCAGAUGGGAUUAGCUAGUAGGGGGGGUAACGGCUCACCUAGGCGACGAUCCCUAGCUGGUCUGAGAGGAUGACCAGCCACCCUGGAACUGGUACACGGGCCAAACUCCUGCGGAGGGCAUCAGUGGGAAAUAUUGCACAAUGGGCGCAAGCCUGAUGCAGCCAUGCCGGGUAUAUGAGGAGGGCCUUCGGGUUGUAAAGUACUUUCAGCGAGGAGGCGUUACUCGCAGAAGAAGCACCGGCUAACUCCGUGCCAGCAGCCGCGGUAAUAC
rnacentral:rRNA from 1 species